CUCUCUUGUUUACCUUCCAGGUUGACAUACUUCUUCAAGUUAUGAAAGAGUCUUUUCUGUUCUCGUAGAUCAGAUGAUGGCAACCUCUGUACCUUCCUGUAGUGUAUGUGAAUAUCGACAUAUCUUUAAACCAGCUUCCAUAUGGUGUUCGGAUUGCGACGAAGGCCUCUGUCUGGAUUGCAAGGAGCAUCAUGGGAUUUCCAAAGCAACAAGAAAGCACGGGAAUGGAACGAAUAAUGUUGUAGUUGUCGCACACGAUGGACAAAAACAUAGGGAACUCCUAUCUAUAAGAGAUGGAUUAACAUCGCCAUGUGCAAUUAACUUUGAACGUGCAACUAACCAUUUAUUAGUUGCAGCUGAUAAUUAUAAAGCAUAUCUGUACAAGGUAUCCACUAAUUAAGUAAAUAAACU